UACGUAGGGUGCGAGCGUUGUCCGGAAUUACUCGGCGUAAAGAGCUCGUAGGUGGUUUGUCACGUCGUCUGUGAAAUUCCGGGGCUUAACCUCGGGCGUGCAGGCGAUACGGGCAAUACUUGAGUGCUGUAGGGGAGACUGGAAUUCCUGGUGUAGCGGUGAAAUGCGCAGAUAUCAGGAGGAACACCAAUGGCGAAGGCAGGUCUCUGGGCAGUUACUGACGCUGAGGAGCGAAAGCAUGGGUAGCGAACAGGAUUAGAUA
rnacentral:rRNA from 1 species